rnacentral:rRNA from 1 species
UAAACUAGGAUUAGAUACCCUAUUAUUUUAAAUGUUAAUUUGAAAUACUAAAUUAUUAAUAGUUAAGUUCUUUAAAAUUAAAAAAUUUGGCGGUAUUUUAGUCUUUUCAGAGGAACCUGUCCUGUAAUUGAUAGUCCACGAUUAUGUAUACUUAUAUUGUUAAUUUACAUAUCGUCGUAGUUAGAAUAUUUUAAUAGAAUUAUAAUAUUCAAGAUUUUUUAUUAAAAAAUAAAUCAGAUCAAGGUGUAGUUUAUAUAUAAGAAGAGAUGGGUUACAUUAAAUUAAUUUUUAGAAUAAAUUUUUUAAAAGAAUUUUGAAUUUGGAUUUGAAAGUAAUUUUUAUGGAUUUACUAAAAAUGAUUAUAGCUCUAAAAUAUGUACACAUCGCCCGUCGCUCUUAA